AUUUGAAUAAGGAGGGGAUUUUA
rnacentral:miRNA from 1 species